CAAUAGCGUAUAUUAAAGUUGUUGCGGUUAAAAAAGCUCGUAGUUGGAUUUCUGCCGAGGACGACCGGUCCGCCCUCUGGGUGAGUAUCUGGCUCGGCCUGGGCAUCUUCUUGGAGAACGUAACUGCACUUGACUGUGUGGUGCGGUAUCCAGGACUUUUACUUUGAGGAAAUUAGAGUGUUUCAAGCAGGCACACGCCUUGAAUACAUUAGCAUGGAAUAAUAAUAUAGGACCUCGGUUCUAUUUUGUUGGUUUCUAGAGCUGAGGUAAUGAUUAAUAGGGAUAGUUGGGGGCAUUCGUAUUUAACUGUCAGAGGUGAAAUUCUUGGAUUUUCUAAAGACUAACUAUUGCGAAAGCAUUUUGCCAAGGAUGUUUUCAUUGAUCAAGAACGAAAGUUAGGGGAUCGAAGACGAUUAGAU
rnacentral:rRNA from 1 species